rnacentral:rRNA from 1 species
AACGUAGGACACAAGCGUUAUCCGGAGUUACUGGGCGUAAAGGGCGUGUAGGCGGGUGAUUAAGUUCGCUAUGAAAGCGCCAGGCUAAACCUGGCGAGGCUGGCGGAUACUGGUCAUCUGGAGUAAGGGAGAGGGAGGUAGAAUUCCGCGUGUAGUGGUGAAAUGCGUAGAGAUGCGGAGGAAUACCAGUGGCGAAGGCGGCCUCCUGGCCCUUAACUGACGCUGAAGCGCGAAAGCGUGGGGAGCAAAC